rnacentral:rRNA from 1 species
UACGUAGGGUGCUAGCGUUGUUCGGAAUUACUGGGCGUAAAGCGUGCGCAGGUGGCUUUAUAAGUCAGGUGUGAAAUCCCGCAGCUCAACUACGGAGUUGCAUUUGAUACUGUCUUGCUAGAGUACGGGAGAGGUUAGUGGAAUUCCUAGUGUAGAGGUGAAAUGCGUAGAUAUUAGGAAGAACACCAGUGGCGAAGGCGGCUCACUGGCCCGGAACUGACGCUGAUGCACGAAAGCGUGGGGAGCAAACAGG